GAUUGCCUCAGUAACGGCGAGUGAAGCGGCAACAGCUCAAAUUUGAAAUCUGGCCUCUUCGGGGUCCGAGUUGUAAUUUGGAGAGGAUGUUUCGGGCACGGUCCGGGCUUAUAUUUCUUGGAACAGAAUGUCAUAGAGGGUGAGAAUCCCGUCUGGAGCUCGGACACGACCUAUGUGAAACUCCUUCGACGAGUCGAGUUGUUUGGGAAUGCAGCUCUAAAUGGGUGGUAAAUUUCAUCUAAAGCUAAAUAUUGGCCAGAGACCGAUAGCGCACAAGUAGAGUGAUCGAAAGAUGAAAAGCACUUUGAAAAGAGAGUUAAAAAGUACGUGAAAUUGUUGAAAGGGAAGCGCUGGCGACCAGACUUGCGCGUCGGGGUUCCCCCUUGCUUCUGCUUGGGUUACUCCCCGGCGUUCAGGCCAACAUCGGUUUCGGGGGUUGGUUAAAGGCCUUGGGAAUGUACCUACCCUCCGGGGUAGACUUAUAGCCCAGGGUGUCAUGCGACCUCCCGGGACCGAGGAACGCGCUUCGGCUCGGAUGUUGGCGUAAUGGUUGUCAGCGACCCGUCUUGAAACACGGACCAAGGAGUCUAACAUCUAUGCGAGUGUUAGGGUGUCAAACCCUUACGCGGAAUGAAAGUGAACGGAGGUAGGAAGCCUUAAGGCUGCACUAUCGACCGAUCCUGAAGUUUACGGACGGAUUUGAGUAAGAGCAUAGCUGUUGGGACCCGAAAGAUGGUGAACUAUGCCUGAAUAGGGUGAAGCCAGAGGAAACUCUGGUGGAGGCUCGCAGCGGUUCUGACGUGCAAAUCGAUCGUCAAAUUUGGGUAUAGGGGCGAAAGACUAAUCGAACCAUCUGGUAGCUGGUUCCUGCCGAAGUUUCCCUCAGGAUAGCAGUAACGUUUUCAGUUUUAUGAGGUAAAGCGAAUGAUUAGAGGCCUUGGGGUUGAAACAACCUUAACCUAUUCUCAAACUUUAAAUAUGUAAGAAGUCCUUGUCACUUAGUUGGACGUGGACAGUUGAAUGUAUCGUUACUAGUGGGCCAUUUUUGGUAAGCAGAACUGGCGAUGCGGGAUGAACCGAACGAGAGGUUAAGGUGCCGGAGUGCACGCUCAUCAGACACCACAAAAGGUGUCAAUGCAUCUAGACAGCCGGACGGUGGCCAUGGAAGUCGGAAUCCGCUUAGGAGUGUGUAACAACUCACCGGCCGAAUGCAUUGGCCCUGAAAAUGGAUGGCGCUUAAGCGUGUCACCUAUACCUCUCCGUCAUUGUUGACAUGAAGCGAUGACGAGUAGGCAGGCGUGGAGGUGCGUGACGAAGC
rnacentral:rRNA from 1 species